UUGUUGCUUGAGGCAAUGGAACAGUAAUCGCAGCAGGAUUUGAUGGAACAGUAGUACCUACCAGUUGUGGAUCUGUUGAUAAUGGAAUCGCAGCAGGGUUUAAUGGAACAGUAGUACCUACCUUCGGUACAGUGGUAACAGCUUUCUGGAAAACUACAUCACUCGCAUAAAUUGGUACUAAUUCUUUUCUUGGGCGACCUCUCCUCCUUGCCAUAACAACCUCUGCUAGGUUUACUUACCUAAGCAGAUGCAGUGGAGAAGAAGACGAUGAAAUAGUGAAGAAGAUGAUGAGAAGGUUAGAGAGAAGGCAGAGCUUCUCUCUCUAGCAUUUUCCCAGAUGAGUACAAGUUAAA
rnacentral:lncRNA from 1 species